AUAGACGCUGGCGGAUGCUUACACAUGCAAGUCGAACGGCAGCACGGGAGCAAUCCUGGUGGCGAGUGGCGAACGGGUGAGUAAUAUAUCGGAACGUGCCCAGUCGUGGGGUGAUAACGCAGCGAAAGCUGUGCUAAUACCGCAUACGAUCUACGGAUGAAAGCGGGGGAUCGCAAGACCUCGCGCGAUUGGAGCGGCCGAUAUCAGAUUAGCUAGUUGGUGGGGUAAAGGCCCACCAAGGCGACGAUCUGUAGCUGGUCUGAGAGGACGACCAGCCACACUGGAACUGAGACACGGUCCAGACUCCUACGGGAGGCAGCAGUGGGGAAUUUUGGACAAUGGGCGCAAGCCUGAUCCAGCAAUGCCGCGUGCAGGAUGAAGGCCUUCGGGUUGUAAACUGCUUUUGUACGGAACGAAACGGUGAGCUCUAAUAAAGUUUGCUAAUGACGGUACCGUAAGAAUAAGCACCGGCUAACUACGUGCCAGCAGCCGCGGUAAUACGUAGGGCGCGAGCGUUAAUCGGAAUUACUGGGCGUAAAGCGUGCGCAGGCGGUUAUGUAAGACAGAUGUGAAAUCCCCGGGCUCAACCUGGGACCUGCAUUUGUGACUGCAUAGCU
rnacentral:rRNA from 1 species